CAAAGCAGGAUUGCACAAGCGUGCAUUACUGCGUUUAUGAUUCUGAUCUGACAGCAAAGCCGAGGACAGCAGCUGAAACAAAAAUGACUCCGUUCUAGAACCCACUUGAGGCUUCUCCCCAGACAUGCCGGAAAAAAGCGGAGCCUGCAUCCCUGUUACCGAGAUCCCAUGCCAAGCCAGCCACAGGGAGAGCCUGAAUCCACACCGUACUUCCCACGGGAUAACAGGGAAGGUCUUAACAAGAAAUAAUUACACAGGAAAAAACUUUAAAAGGCUACAAUUAGCCUUUUAUUUUUAAGAACUGCCGCCAACAGGAACCGGGCUGUGGAGCAGGAAGUACAGCAACCCCACCUCGAGCCUCGAACCACUGAAUGCAGAGCCCGAGGACACGCUCGGGGAGGCGCUCACCAUGUGCAAGGGGCAGAAGCACACGGCCCCCUGCCUUUCUGCACCCACACGGACACCCCUGACCCACGACGCGGUGCCUAACUACACAGAGUGAGGGAAAGCGCCCGAAUUCCCCACGAUCCGAGUAAGAAAAACAGACUGCAUCAGCACCCCUUCGCCUAGUUUCCUUUCCUUUCCAUUAACGCUUCAGUCUAGGUUUUACAACAAUCAAGUACAUAAAUAAUUACGCAGGCAUA